rnacentral:rRNA from 1 species
UACGUAGGGGGCUAGCGUUGUCCGGAUUUAUUGGGCGUAAAGAGCGUGUAGGCGGCCAGGUAGGUCUGCUGUGAAAACUCGAGGCUCAACCUCGAGACGUCGGCGGAAACCAUCUGGCUAGAGUCCGGAAGAGGACGAGUGGAAUUCCUGGUGUAGCGGUGAAAUGCGCAGAUAUCAGGAGGAACACCAAUGGCGAAGGCAGCUCGCUGGGACGGUACUGACGCUGAGACGCGAAAGCGUGGGGAGCAAACAGG